rnacentral:lncRNA from 1 species
UAAGAGUCCGUCAUGUGAUCAGAUGCUCCAGAGUCAAUGAUCCGAGGGAUUUUAGAUUGAGAGAUGGAUUGUAAAGCUCUUAAAAAAUUACCUCUGUGCGCUAGCGAGUUAGAGGGAUUUUUUAUGGAUGUUUAACUUAACGAUUGGAGGCUAGAAAUCAUUUUGUAAAGUUGCUCCAUUUGUUCGGGAUUGAAUGCAUCACUAGACUCGGAUUUUCCCGUUUGGUAAUCAACUGACGCCUGGUAACCACGAUUUUUAUUAUUUUGUCUUGGCUUCCAAUUACUUGGUUUCCCAUGUAGAUCCCAACAUGUAUCUUCUUUAUAUCCUGAUUUUCGACAAUGCUCAUACCACAAUCUACUUCAUUGUUGUUUUGAGCCCAGCCUGGCUGGGGCUCCUUUAGAAUAUAGGCAUGUUAUCCAAAGCCCAUUACCCGAAUCAUUUGUGCCAUUAUUUAAGCCCACUUCGUUAUUAAAUUUACUGGCCCAUUACUUCCAUUGGCUGGCCCAAUAUUAGGAACUCCAGAUUGAUUAGACUUCAGCCCAUAGUUAGACAGCCUGUAUUUGUUGGAGAUCAAUCCAGAUCCUUCCAUCACCGACGACUCAUACACACCAGAGUUGCCCAACAUGAUUUUCGUCCAAUCUUCUUCUCUGCAAAUGCUUCUGGCGGCGAGGGAAGAGGACGUCGCCCAAGUAUUUUGCCUAAAACCUCGUCAAGGUCGCGAUGGAGGCCUGCUAGGAAUUCAAAUACCCUUUCUGUUUCCAGUUUCUUUGUUUACCGUACGCUGUCCUCCAAACACUUCCAUUCUUUCGCCAAACUCAGGUCCAGUUCUUGCCAUAGUCCGAUCAUCUCCAGGUAGUAAUCCGUCACUUCACGAUCCCCUUGCUUUGUUUGCCAUAACUUCUACUUGAUUUCAAAAAUUUUCGAGAAGUUCUCCGAGUUUGAAUACAUUUCUUUGACCACAUCCUAAAUGUCUCUUGUAGUUGGGAGAAAUAGGUAUGUUUUCCCGAUAGCAGGUUUCAUGGAAUUGACAAGCCAGGCAAUCAUCAUCGAAUUCUCCGACUUGCACUUCUGAAGGAGAGCCGCGUUGUUUGAGGCCGACAUCUUGGUUUCGCUAGUCAGGCGUCCCAGUUUCCCUUUCCCGUCGAUUAUUAGUUUUAUAGACUGCGUCCAUUCUCUGUAGUUUCUGCCAUUUAAUUUCUCUAUCGAGAGUUGGAAAGCUAAAUUUUCGAUCCCUUUUGUAUUCAUGGUAGAGAUGGCUUCUACCUCUGAAUCAGAGAUUAUGGAGCCCCUAUCUAUCGUGGCUGAUUCAGUCAUGUAUUGGCUAGGUUAGAAACAAACCUGCUCUGAUAUCAUGUGGGAAAACUAAUUUCAUUAAUUUCUGAUAAUUGGUACAAUGAGGGAAUACAAUUUAUAAUAGACUGA